UACGUAGGGGGCUAGCGUUGUCCGGAAUUAUUGGGCGUAAAGAGCUCGUAGGCGGUCUGUCGCGUCUGCUGUGAAAAUCCAGGGCUCAACCUUGGACCUGCAGUGGGUACGGGCAGACUAGAGUGCGGUAGGGGAGAUCGGAAUUCCUGGUGUAGCGGUGAAAUGCGCAGAUAUCAGGAGGAACACCGGUGGCGAAGGCGGAUCUCUGGGCCGUAACUGACGCUGAGGAGCGAAAGCAUGGGGAGCGAACAGG
rnacentral:rRNA from 1 species